rnacentral:rRNA from 1 species
UACGUAGGGGGCAAGCGUUGUCCGGAAUCAUUGGGCGUAAAGAGCGCGUAGGCGGCCCAGUAAGUCCGCUCUGAAAGUCAGAGGCUCAACCUCUGAAUGCGGGUGGAUACUGCUGGGCUAGAGUCCGGAAGAGGCGAGUGGAAUUCCUGGUGUAGCGGUGAAAUGCGCAGAUAUCAGGAGGAACACCGAUGGCGAAGGCAGCUCGCUGGGACGGUACUGACGCUGAGGCGCGAAAGCGUGGGGAGCGAACAGG